CUACGGGCCGCAGCAGUGGGGAAUAUUGCACAAUGGAGGAAACUCUGAUGCAGCAACGCCGCGUGGAGGAUGACACUUUUCGGAGCGUAGACUCCUUUUAUAUAGGAAGAUAAUGACGGUACUAUAUGAAUAAGCACCGGCUAACUCCGUGCCAGCAGCCGCGGUAAUACGGAGGGUGCAAGCGUUACUCGGAAUCACUGGGCGUAAAGAGCGUGUAGGCGGGUUAAUAAGUCAGAAGUGAAAUCCUAUGGCUCAACCAUAGAACUGCUUUUGAAACUGUUAACCUAGAGUGUGGGAGAGGUAGAUGGAAUUUCUGGUGUAGGGGUAAAAUCCGUAGAGAUCAGAAGGAAUACCGAUUGCGAAGGCGAUCUGCUGGAACAUAACUGACGCUGAGACGCGAAAGCGUGGGGAGCAAACAGGAUUAGAUACCCGCGUAGUC
rnacentral:rRNA from 1 species